UAUUGUGCCCAAGUUGAUAUCUGUGGAGAGAAAAGGAGAGAGAGUGGGUAACACGAGGAGAGACCGAGGAAACCUGUACUUACGCCGCUGCCUGUGGAGAAAGAGAAAGCGAGUGAGCACCCAAGGAACGAACUGUGUGAACCAGUACUUACUGUGAGCUGCAAUCAGCGAAGAGGUGAGAGCCAUUCAAAGCAAACUAACUGUGCUAUUGUGCCUAAGUUGAUACCUGUGGAGAGAAAAGGAGAGAGAGUGGGUAACACGAGGAGAGACCGAGGAAACCUGUACUUACGCCGCUGCCUGUGGAGAAAGAGAAAGCGAGUGAGCACCCAAGGAACGAACUGUGUGAACCAGUACUUACUGUGAGCUGCAAUCAGCGAAGAGGUGAGAGCAAAACCAAGCCGAAUUAACUGUGCUUUUGUGUCCCAGCCGUUGCCUGUGGAGGAAGAGAAAGAGAGUGAGCACCUCGAGAACGAACUGUGUGAACCAGUACUUGCCGUGAGCUGUAUUCAGCGAAGAGGAGGAAGAAGGAGGGCGCUACGGAUACCUAAGACUCAGGCCGGGGCCCGAGUCCCACGCCCCGGAUCCCCGUGGCCCCCUUGCUCCCUGACCUCUUCCCGGCCAUAGCCCAUCUGGAGGGCCGAGUCAGAGUUUAGUUUUUAAUUGCCCUUUCCCUAUUCCCCAAGCUAUUUUUAAAUAUUUAAAUAAAGAUUGUUUUAUCACUUACUUGUUCUCGUGUUGUUUGGCCAUUGGGUUGGCUUUGGGGACCUCCUCGAGGUGGAAGUUGAGAAGGGGGUGUGGCUUAGUCAAAGCAUAGCCAGCCCCUGGGUGUGACAGAUUUGGCGUAGUCGGCAGGGUUUCCACCUCGAGU
ensembl:lncRNA